CAGCCGCCGAUAAAAUCCUUA
rnacentral:siRNA from 1 species